rnacentral:rRNA from 1 species
AGUGAACGCUGGCGGUAGGCCUAACACAUGCAAGUCGAACGGCAGCACAGUAAGAGCUUGCUCUUACGGGUGGCGAGUGGCGGACGGGUGAGGAAUACAUCGGAAUCUACUUUUUCGUGGGGGAUAACGUAGGGAAACUUACGCUAAUACCGCAUACGACCUACGGGUGAAAGCAGGGGAUCUUCGGACCUUGCACGAUUGAAUGAGCCGAUGUCGGAUUAGCUAGUUGGCGGGGUAAAGGCCCACCAAGGCGACGAUCCGUAGCUGGUCUGAGAGGAUGAACAGCCACACUGGAACUGAGACACGGUCCAGACUCCUACGGGAGGCAGCAGUGGGGAAUAUUGGACAAUGGGCGCAAGCCUGAUCCAGCCAUACCGCGUGGGUGAAGAAGGCCUUCGGGUUGUAAAGCCCUUUUGUUGGGAAAGAAAAGCAGCAGGUUAAUACCCCGCUGUUCUGACGGUACCCAAAGAAUAAGCACCGGCUAACUUCGUG